AUAAUGAGUGUGUCACGACCGGUUUUCUUCUCUCUUUAAUGAGUGUGUCACGACAGGUUUUCUUCUCUCUAUAAUGAGUGUGUCACGACCGGUUUUCUUCUGUCUAUAAUGAGUGUGUCACGACAGGUUUUCUUCUCUCUAUAAUGAGUG